rnacentral:rRNA from 1 species
AACGAACGCUGGCGGCAGGCUUAACACAUGCAAGUCGAACGGGCGUAGCAAUACGUCAGUGGCAGACGGGUGAGUAACACGUGGGAACCUUCCUAGGGGUACGGAACAACUCAGGGAAACUUGAGCUAAUACCGUAUACGUCCGAGAGGAGAAAGAUUUAUCGCCCUUAGACGGGCCCGCGUCGGAUUAGGUAGUUGGUGGGGUAACGGCCUACCAAGCCUACGAUCCGUAGCUGAUCUGAGAGGAUGAUCAGCCACACUGGGACUGAGACACGGCCCAGACUCCUACGGGAGGCAGCAGUGGGGAAUCUUGGACAAUGGGCGCAAGCCUGAUCCAGCCAUGCCGCGUGAGUGAAGAAGGCCUUAGGGUUGUAAAGCUCUUUUGGCAGGGACGAUAAUGACGGUACCUGCAGAAUAAGCCCCGGCAAACUUCGUGCCAGCAGCAGCCGCGGUAA